rnacentral:rRNA from 1 species
CGCGCAGGCGGUCGUUCAAGUCGCGUGUGAAAGCCCCCGGCUCAACUGGGGAGGGUCACGCGAUACUGAUCGACUCGAAGGCAGGAGAGGGUAGUGGAAUUCCCGGUGUAGUGGUGAAAUGCGUAGAUAUCGGGAGGAACACCAGUGGCGAAGGCGACUACCUGGCCUGUUCUUGACGCUGAGGCGCGAAAGCGUAGGGGAGACGAAACG